GGCUCUGCAGCCUGCAGACCCUCCACAUGCUCACAAGCUUCCCCUGGUGUCUGUGCCCAUCAGGCACCCUUGCAGCGGAGACGGAGACCUGCCCUGUGCUUUCCUGAGGAACAGGCUCACAAAGGAAGCCCAGCCAGCUCUCCGGGACUGAGAACAGAGGAAGCAGACAACUUCCACCUGCUCCAAGGUUCCCUUCAGACAGGACAAUGGGCAAGCACAGCUCGCUGGAGUCCCUCGUCUGUCAUCUGAGGCCAGAGCAAAAUGCCUUUCCUCUAUGUGCUGGAUGUGACACCUCGACCGUGCAGAAACAUGGAUGUUCCUCUGGGCGCUACGGUUACGCGUCUAGGUGGCAGAAGGACGGAGUCAUACCUG